GUUUUAAUAGUUUAACAAAAACAUUGGUCUUGUAAAUCAAAAAUAAGAAUUUUUAUUCUUUUGAAACA
rnacentral:tRNA from 2 species